GGCACCGUGGCCUACCGGUCACGUUGGGACCGUCCGCUUCUCUGUUCGCGAUUCGCGCUGCUCAAGAGCUCAAUUUGUUUUUUAUUCGGUAUAUCUGCACUACCUGUAUAUGGUCCUGCGAAUACGUAUCGAGAUACCUGUACCUGGCCGGCUCGAAAUAAAGAUACCUGUACCUGUCCCGCGCUUUGGUUGUUGGCCCGUUUUAUUGCUCUAGAUCUGAUGGCCGGGAGCUUCACUUUCGCCCACUCCCCACAAUGGCGUCGCUCUGCCACCGGUGACGGGCAGCCUUCUUCUCCAGCGCCGUCGAGUCCAUUGGAAUGCCUAAUCCUAGGGGCAGUGGCGCCAGUGGGGAUGAACUUGGGUGUUCAUCCGUGAUGUUGUUAGGAGAUGAACAGUUCGAAUCCAAUGAGUUAUCGUACAUGGAGCUUUUGAGCAGAGUCGAGCUUCAACCAAUUCCAGAACAAGACGAGGUGGGUGAAAUGGAUUUUAUUCCCCCAAACCAAUUACCAGAAGAAUCAAUUGAAACAGAUGCUUUCUACAAUAGCUAUUCAAAUAAAAAUGAUGGUUGUUAUUCUGAAGCUGGAAGUGCUUCAAACACGUCAAGGUGUUUUUCCUCUUUCAAUCAAUCUGAUGCAGAAUCAGUCCCUCAGGAGGUUUCCUCUAC